CAGCAGCCGCGGUAAUACGUAGGUGGCAAGCGUUGUCCGGAUUUAUUGGGCGUAAAGCGAGCGCAGGCGGUUUCUUAAGUCUGAUGUGAAAGCCCCCGGCUCAACCGGGGAGGGUCAUUGGAAACUGGGAAACUUGAGUGCAGAAGAGGAGAGUGGAAUUCCAUGUGUAGCGGUGAAAUGCGUAGAUAUAUGGAGGAACACCAGUGGCGAAGGCGGCUCUCUGGUCUGUAACUGACGCUGAGGCUCGAAAGCGUGGGGAGCAAACAGGAUUAGAUACCCGGGUAGUCCCUGUCUCUUAUAC
rnacentral:rRNA from 1 species